rnacentral:ribozyme from 14 species
ACUAGAUAGAAAUGUUUUAUUUUUAUUUCUCUUUUUCUUUCUCUCUUCAGAAAUAAAAUAGAAAUAUGAAACUGGCUACAACAAUUG